UACGUAGGGUGCAAGCGUUAAUCGGAAUUAUUGGGCGUAAAGCGUGCGCAGGCGGUUAUGUAAGACAGAGGUGAAAUCCCCGGGCUCAACCUGGGAGCUGCCUUUGUGACUGCAUAGCUAGAGUACGGCAGAGGGGGAUGGAAUUCCGCGUGUAGCAGUGAAAUGCGUAGAUAUGCGGAGGAACACCGAUGGCGAAGGCAAUCCCCUGGGCCUGUACUGACGCUCAUGCACGAAAGCGUGGGGAGCAAACAGG
rnacentral:rRNA from 1 species